GGCCUUUUAGCUCAGUUGGUUAGAGCGUCGUGCUAAUAACGCGAAGGUCGCGGGUUCGAUCCCCCCAAGGGCCA
rnacentral:tRNA from 3 species